GGAAGUUGAACUGGACUGGAGAAGAGAUGGCGUGAGAGUGGACGUUGGAGUGUGUUUCCAUUAUAGGGACGUCACAGUGGACGAUACAGGACUAACACAGUACCAGCUGGUGUUGGUGGACUCAAAGGGACGCUGGCGCCGCGUCCAUGGAGCAUCACAUACCAGGGAGGGUCGCCUAUGUUUCUCAAGAGUAACUCUGGACUCCCGUCAGUUCAACACUGCUGAAGAAGUAACUGUGUUGGUCAUCAAGAGAGACGUGGAUGGUCGUACUGUCCUGGCCAGCGGGGAGUCUCACGUAUUCUUCAUCAGGGGGAGCGUGGACAGCAGAGGGAGCAGUGUAAGCUGGAACAACCCUGGGAACUACACCUUCACGCUGUACAAGGGAGGUCAGCCACACCCUCUUGCAACCUCCCUCACCUGCCACACCUGCACUCACAGCCUCACCACUCAGGCACUGGGAGAGGCCCUGAGG